CUACGGGAUGCUGCAGUGAGGAAUAUUGCACAAUGGAGGAAACUCUGAUGCAGCAACGCCGCGUGGAGGAUGACGCAUUUCGGUGUGUAAACUCCUUUUAUGAGUCAAGAAAAUGACGGUAGCAUAUGAAUAAGCACCGGCUAACUCCGUGCCAGCAGCCGCGGUAAUACGGAGGGUGCAAGCGUUACUCGGAAUCACUGGGCGUAAAGGACGCGUAGGCGGGUUGGAAAGUCAGGUGUGAAAUCCUACAGCUUAACUGUAGAACUGCACUUGAAACUUCUAAUCUAGAGUAUGGGAGGGGGAGAUGGAAUUAGUGGUGUAGGGGUAAAAUCCGUAGAUAUCACUAGGAAUACCUAAAGCGAAGGCGAUCUCCUGGAACAUUACUGACGCUAAGGCGUGAAAGCGUGGGGAGCAAACAGGAUUAGAUACCCUUGUAGUC
rnacentral:rRNA from 1 species